GCCGGAGUUGCUAGUAAUCCCGAAUCAGAACGUCGGGGUGAAUGCGUUCUCGGGUCUUGUACACACCGCCCGUCAAGCCAUGGGAGUCGGGAGUACCCAAAGUCGGUGAGCUAACCGCAAGGAGGCAGCCGCCUAAGGUAAGACCGAUGACUGGGGUUAAGUCGUAACAAGGUAGCCGUAUCGGAAGGUGCGGCUGGAUCACCUACUUU
rnacentral:rRNA from 1 species